UCCGAUGGCCUAGUGGUUAGAGCAUCCGCCUUUGAUGCGGGAGGUCGUGGGUUCGAUUUUUGGUCAA